AGUGAACGUUGGCGGCGUGGAUUAGGCAUGCAAGUCGAGCGAUCGUAGCAAUACGGGAGCGGCAAACGGGGUAGGAAUACAUCGGAACGUACCUUUUGGUUGAGAAUAGCGUUGGGAAACUGACGGUAAUACUCAAUAAAGUCGAGAGACCAAAGGUUUACUGCCGGAAGAGCGGCCGAUGCGAUAUUAGGUAGUUGGUGGGGUAAUGGCCUACCAAGCCUGAGAUGUCUAGGGGGUGUGAGAGCAUGGCCCCCACCACUGGGACUGAGAUACUGCCCAGACACCUACGGGUGGCUGCAGUCGAGGAUCUUCGUCAAUGGGCGAAAGCCUGAACGAGCGACGCCGCGUGCGGGAUGAAGGCCCUUGGGUUGUAAACCGCUGUCAGGGGGGAUGAAACCGUAAGGUUGACAGAGCCCCAGAGGAAGCACGGGCUAAGUUCGUG
rnacentral:rRNA from 1 species